rnacentral:rRNA from 1 species
AGCGAACGCUGGCGGCAGGCUUAACACAUGCAAGUCGAGCGGGCGUAGCAAUACGUCAGCGGCAGACGGGUGAGUAACGCGUGGGAACAUACCUUUUGGUUCGGAACAACACAGGGAAACUUGUGCUAAUACCGGAUAAGCCCUUACGGGGAAAGAUUUAUCGCCGAAAGAUUGGCCCGCGUCUGAUUAGCUAGUUGGUGAGGUAACGGCUCACCAAGGCGACGAUCAGUAGCNGGUCUGAGAGGAUGAUCAGCCACAUUGGGACUGAGACACGGCCCAAACUCCUACGGGAGGCAGCAGUGGGGAAUAUUGGACAAUGGGCGCAAGCCUGAUCCAGCCAUGCCGCGUGAGUGAUGAAGG